rnacentral:rRNA from 1 species
UCGAGCGGCAGCGCGGGGGCAACCCUGGCGGCGAGCGGCGAACGGGUGAGUAAUACAUCGGAACGUGUCCCGUAGUGGGGGAUAGCUCGGCGAAAGCCGGAUUAAUACCGCAUAUGCUCUACGGAGGAAAGUGGGGGAUCCGCAAGGACCUCACGCUAUGGGAGCGGCCGAUGUCCGAUUAGCUUGUUGGUGAGGUAAAGGCUUACUAAGGCGACGAUCGGUAGCUGGUCUGAGAGGAUGAUCAGCCACACUGGGACUGAGACACGGCCCAGACUCCUACGGGAGGCAGCAGUGGGGAAUUUUGGACAAUGGGGGAAACCCUGAUCCAGCCAUGCCGCGUGCGGGAAGAAGGCCUUCGGGUUGUAAACCGCUUUUGUCCGGGAAGAAAAGGUAUCUCCUAAUAGGGGAUGCUCUUGACGGUACUGGAAGAAUAAGCACCGGCUAACUACGUGCCAGCAGCCGCG